GCAAACCAUCCUCUUUGCUUCCUUUGUGAUGGACACUCCUUAGCUUCUGCGCCUUAAUAAGCCCCUGAAGGUGUUUACAGCCUCCGUUGUCUGCUCACCCUUGGGCCUCCCCGUCCAGCAGGCGGCGGUAGGUCUCAAUCUCCAGCUCCAGGCGGGCCUUGACAUUCAGCAGCCGCUGGUGGUCCACGUUCUGGCGCUCUGCGUCCGCGCGCACCUGGAGCAGCUGUGCCUCCAGGUUGCUGAUGAGCUGCUGCACCU
ensembl:lncRNA novel transcript, antisense to KRT12